CUCUCAGCUUAUUUUGCGCAGCUUAGGUGGGAGGCUAUGAACCUUUUCUUCUGGGAAGAGGGGAGCCGUCAGUGAGAUACCACUCUUGGUAAGCUAGAGCGCUCAGUCUUAACCGUCAUCCGGUAAGACGACAGUUUCAGGCGGGCAGUUUGACUGGGGCAGUCACCUCCCAAAAGGUAAUGGAGGUGUGCAAAGGUUCACUCAGGCUGGACGGAAAUCAGCCAUAGAGUGUAAAAGCAAAAGGGAGCUUGACUGCGAGACUGACAUGUCAAGCAGAGACGAAAGUCGGCUUUAGUGAUCCGACGGUGCUGUGUGGAAAGGCCGUCGCUCAACGGAUAAAAGUUACUCUAGGGAUAAC
rnacentral:rRNA from 1 species